rnacentral:rRNA from 1 species
GACGAACGCUGGCGGCGUGCCUAAUACAUGCAAGUUGAGCGCUGAAGGUUGGUACUUGUACCAACUGGAUGAGCAGCGAACGGGUGAGUAACGCGUGGGGAAUCUGCCUUUGAGCGGGGGACAACAUUUGGAAACGAAUGCUAAUACCGCAUAAAAACUUUAAACACAAGUUUUAAGUUUGAAAGAUGCAAUUGCAUCACUCAAAGAUGAUCCCGCGUUGUAUUAGCUAGUUGGUGAGGUAAAGGCUCACCAAGGCGAGGAUACAUAGCCGACCUGAGAGGGUGGUCGGCCACAUUGGGACUGAGACACGGCCCAAACUCCUACGGGAGGCAGCAGUAGGGAAUCUUCGGCAAUGGACGAAAGUCUGGCCGAGCAACGCCGCGUGAGUUGAGAAGGUUUUCGGAUCGUAAAACUCUGUUGGUAGAGAAGAACGUUGGUGGGAGUGGAAAGCUCAUCAAGUGACGGUAACUACCCAGAAAGGGACGGCUAACUACGUG